AUCGAACGCUGGCGGCAGGCCUAACACAUGCAAGUCGAACGAGUGGCGGAGGGGUGAGUAAUGUAUGGGAAUCUGGCUGAUGUAGGGGGAUAACUACGGUAAACUGUAGCAAAAACUGCUUACCAUAGGUUGAGCCCACGUUGGCUUAGGUAGUUGGGGAGGUAAAGGCUCACAAAGACGACGAUGGCUAGCUGGUCUGCGAGGAUGAGCGGCCACACUGGGACUGAGACACGGCCCAGACUCCUACGGGAGGCAGCAGUGGGGAAUAUUGCGCAAUGGGCGCAAGCUGACGCAGCCAUGCCGCGUGAAUGAAGAAGGCCUUCGGGUUGUAAAGUUCUUUCGGUAGCGAGGCGUUAACUACAGAAGAAGCACCGGCUAACUCCGUGCCAGCAGCCGCGGUAAUUC
rnacentral:rRNA from 1 species